rnacentral:rRNA from 1 species
ACUCCUGCGGGAGGCAGCAGUGGGGAAUUUUGGACAAUGGGCGAAAGCCUGAUCCAGCAAUGCCGCGUGCAGGAUGAAGGCCUUCGGGUUGUAAACUGCUUUUGUACGGAACGAAAAAGCUCCUUCUAAUACAGGGGGCCCAUGACGGUACCGUAAGAAUAAGCACCGGCUAACUACGUGCCAGCAGCCGCGGUAAUACGUAGGGUGCGAGCGUUAAUCGGAAUUACUGGGCGUAAAGCGUGCGCAGGCGGUUAUGUAAGACAGAUGUGAAAUCCCCGGGCUCAACCUGGGAACUGCAUUUGUGACUGCAUGGCUAGAGUACGGUAGAGGGGGAUGGAAUUCCGCGUGUAGCAGUGAAAUGCGUAGAUAUGCGGAGGAACACCGAUGGCGAAGGCAAUCCCCUGGACCUGUACUGACGCUCAUGCACGAAAGCGUGGGGAGCAAACAGGAUUAGAUACCCCGGUAGUCC